CGGAGGCGGAUUCGAAGGGAGACUGAGAGUAAGCGGGAGUCGGAUCAGUAAAGCCGUAGAUCUCCGGCGAUGCGGCGGCGGAGUGAUCGACGGCGACAUCUCCAUCGGCGGAAAAAUCACCGGUGAAGGAAGAGUAGCCGGCGUAGCCAGAGAAGUUGUCCUCGUCGUCGUCGUGUUGGUGAGUGGAAGAAGAGUUGACGUUCAAGUCAUCGGUGAAGGUAUCGAAGGAAGACAUGUCUGCGACUGCGAUUUUCUCUCUCUUCUGUGAAACGCAAAUGAUGGGAACACUGUUGCUUUGCUUU
rnacentral:lncRNA from 1 species